UGGAGUGACUGCACGGCGCCAGCUCCCUGCACCUGACUAUGCACUGAUCCAUUCUUCUGCCCACUGAUUGGAGUGUCGCUCUAGCUGCAAGCACCGUAGGAACCGGUUCUGGAGCUGAAGCACCGGGCGCUUCCUGCUCCGUAGACAGUGGGGCUGGUGACGCGCAAGCUGUGCAUUGCCAUGGCAACAUGACGUCAGGAGCGGAAGGGAAUGCGGCGGCCGUGAACGGGAUCCAGGUGGAUGGCGGUGGUGAUCGGUGGGACCUAUACAGGAGUUACGGUUGGACAACAUGCUAGUAACUAUCAACAAAACUAUGAGCAAGAUAAUUGCCAACAUGAAAAAAUAAAAUAAAAGCAUCAAAGAGAUCCAUGCAUGGCUUAAGGAAAGUGGCAUUAUAGUCACUUUAGAAACGGUGAGCUAUCAUGCUUUUGAGAGAACAACAACCCAGAUUUGCAUUUCCUACAAAAUGCACAUGGAUAUCUCCCAUGAUAAGAGAUGUGAAUAAAGAAAAGAGAGUUGAACAGGCACAGCGAUGGAUUGAGAGUGGUAAAACAUUUCAAGAUGUCAUUUUCACAGAUGAAUUGUCUGUUGCUCUUGAGAGGUUCUCCCGAAUGUAAUUCCGGAAACGUCACCAUAUCUCAUUAAAGCCAAGCCCAAAGUAUCUAUUGAAGGUCCAUGUAUGGGGAGGCAUAUUAUGAUUAGAAGCUGGUCCCCUACUAUUUUUCUAAGGUACUGUACUUUAUUCUGUGCAUGUGUUCUGUAAAAAUACAUGCUGUACUGUACAAUACAUGUAAAUGCACAAUAAAA